GAUUAACGCGAAGAACCUUACCUACCCUUGACAUGUUACGGAAGCCACGAGAGAUCGAGGCGUGCUCGAAAGAGAGCCGUAACACAGGUGCUGCAUGGCUGUCGUCAGCUCGUGUCGUGAGAUGUUGGGUUAAGUCCCGCAACGAGCGCAACCCUUGUCAUUAGUUGCUACGAAAGAGCACUCUAAUGAGACUGCCGGUGACAAACCGGAGGAAGGUGGGGAUGACGUCAAGUCCUCAUGGCCCUUAUGGGUAGGGCUUCACACGUCAUACAAUGGUACAUACAGAGGGCCGCCAACCCGCGAGGGGGAGCUAAUCCCAGAAAGUGUAUCGUAGUCCGGAUUGUAGUCUGCAACUCGACUACAUGAAGUUGGAAUCGCUAGUAAUCGCGGAUCAGCAUGUCGCGGUGAAUACGUUCCCGGGCCUUGUACACACCGAAUCACUAGU
rnacentral:rRNA from 1 species